GUGCACCAGUCGCGAAUAGUCUACAAUGGACGAAAGUCUGAUAGUGCGACGCCGUGUGUGCGAUUAAUUCCUUCGGGAUGUAAAGCACUUUUCUAUGAGAUAAAAGCUCUUUAGGUUAAUAGCUUAUUGAGACGGAUAUUAUUAUAGGAAUAAGCUCCGGCUAACUCCGUGCCAGCAGCCGCGGUAAUACGGAAGGAGCGAGCGUUGUCCGGAUUUACUAGGCGUAAAGGGCUAGUAGGCGACUAAUUAAGUUAUAUGUUAAAUCCCACGGCUCAACUGUGGUCCUGCAUGUAAUACUGGUUAGAUAGAGUACUGUAGAGGAAGGCAGAAUUCCUGGAGUAGCGGUGGAAUGCGCAGAUAUCAGGAAGAAUACCAAAAGCGAAGGCAGCCUUCUGGGCAGUUACUGACGCUGAAUAGCGAAGGUGUGGGUAGCGAACAGGAUUAGAUACCGUGUAGU
rnacentral:rRNA from 1 species